UUGGAGGGCACAAUAAUAACAUUUGCUUCUUUUUCUGUGUUGUCAGUAGCUACUUAAUGUCUAGAUCUAUCGAUUCUUAGAGAUUGCCAGUGAUAUUCUAAUUCCAUCAUUUAAAAAAUGUAUUAGUUGGGAUAAUUUAUACAAGACACUUCUCUCAUAUAUUAUUUGGUUACCUGGUAGUACAGUUCAUAUAGGAAAAGCAGCAUAAUAAAUGCUUGGUUACAACUGAUUCCCUACCAGCCUCUGAAGGCAAUCAGUUUUAAAAAAAAAAAACUAAUACUUUUUGCUCUCAUAUUCCAUACUAUAGAUGAUUCAUUGAAAUUAACGGCAAUGCUGAUAAUACUUUCUACUAUUUCUUGAGUGCCUACUAUGUGCCAAGCAUUUUGCCUGAUACUUAUCACAAUGUAAGAUGCAAAAGCUUUUGAUAUGUGUAUCAUCAACACCUUUAACCCUGGUUAACUCCUCACCUACCAACCAUCUUAAAAGUUAUAAUGAGAAAGUGAUACUACAAUCUGUACUGAAUUAUAAGCACUGCCACUGGGUUAGGAGAUGUUCAGUCAUCUGUAAUUAAAGUGAAUCUGAAUGUGUUUAUUUUACUUGUUAUUUGCCCACAGAUUCACAUUGUUCCCAUUUUGCAAGUGUGCUGUGCCUGCUUUUAACUUUUCAUAUUUGAAGGAAAGUCAGUCCUUAAAAAUUAAAAGUAAAAAAUUACAGACUUUCAAUAAAGUUUAAAGGGAUCCAUUUUAACCUUAAAUCAGGAAAAAAGAAGGCAAAAUGAGUCACGAAGCUGACAGAGUAGAAGAUGGAAAGAGCCUAAAGAGGACUUGCCACCCAAUGUGACAGUGCAGGACAGUGUCUGAUAAACAGAAUGAGGAUCCAGGGCAAAGAGGAACAAUAAGAAUUCUUCAAAGGAAACACUGAGCAGAACUGGAAGGGCAACCUCUGAUGUAUCCAUCUUAAUACACUGCUUCCAUUAAAUGACAUCUGUAUUUCCUGACCAAGAGUUGGAAGACCUUCGAUAUAUUAAGAUCCAUGGUAUCCCUUCUUGCAAAAGUAUAUUGGCAUCAAAGGACUGCGUAAUAUUCUAAAAGGGGAAUGUGGAAACCUCACCUCCAGAAGAACAGAGCAUCAUGUUGUAGGUGAACAUUCUGAUGACAUUAAAGAAGGGUUCAAGAAAUAUCCGCAGAUCUCUUCACCCUUGUCUGGUAGAGUAUGAACAGUGGUCUCCGUUGUCUUUGACACCAUAGAAAAGAUAGGAAGAGUUAUAUUUUCCAAACUUUAAAAUGAUAUAUAUUAACGUUUUCAACAUUCCUCUUUUAAAAGCCCAGGUUUCAUUUAAUUGUUCAUCUUCAACUACAGCAAAUUAUGGAAAUUACAAUUAUAAGAAGGAAAAAAAGGCUAAAAAAGGAUGGACAAAAUUCACGAUUCUCCUUGAUUUUGUUUUUCAAUAAAAUUGUAUGUAUCUGUCUGAAAGAUCAGGUGUUCUACCAUUAAAAAGGUGGUUACAUGCUAAUUCUUGAUUUUUAAAAAGUCACAUCCAUUAAGGUGAGUAUUAUUUGAUUUCUAUGGGGAGGAGACAAGAUGGCAGAGUAGAAGGACUUCAGCUUACCUCCCCUCAUGAAAACACCAAAAUCACAGCUAACUGCUGAACAACAAUCGAAAAAAGAUGAGAACCUACCAAAAAGAUACUCUACAUCCAAAGACAAAGAAGAAGCCACACAAGACAGUAGGAGGGGUGCAUUCACAGUAUAAUCAAAUCCCAUAACCACCAGGUGGGUGACCCACAAACUGGAAAAUAAUUAUAUCACAGAGG